rnacentral:misc_RNA from 1 species
CUCCUAGCCUAUAAUACUGCUGCAUCUGAUGCAAUGGAGAAUAGCAGAACCAGAGAGCAUUGAAGCAGGUAGUGCAGGAUACUUGCCGCUGGGAAGAUAAUGGUUCAUUCUCUGAGCCCAUAGUGUUAUGUAGGGUAGGGUCGGUAAACUUUCAGAAAAGAUUUUGAUAGAUCAUGAACUCUUUUCAAUCUGAAUGGAUUUUUAUUUUCCCAGUUGAAUCCAGAUAAGCUAGGCGGGGGGAAAGAAUUGAAAUUGGAAAAAUAUGAAUAAGGCUGGUG